CAAAUUGAGAAAUUGUAAGAUUUUUUUUUAGGAGAUGCGGAUGUCCGGAAAAUUGGAAACUUAAUUAUGGUACAUUAAGAAAUAUGAUUGGUUCUCCAGUGAGGUUGACCAGGAUUGAAUUCUCUAAAAAUGGCGGAGGUACAAUGGAAAGGAAUUUUGGUACAUUGGGGUACCUUGAAUUUUGAAGAAGUUUUUAGCGGUUCGUUUGAGGAUUCUUUCAAUUAUUUGGCUCAUAUUAAAUAACAGGAUUGGAAAUAUUGUAAAUUAUGCCACGUCAUGGUCACCAUUGGCGUUUACGAGUGACGCAGAUGCUGAUAUCCUAAUAAAGAUCCUAAUAAAGAUUUUAUAGAGCAAUCGCAUAACAAACACUUCAACCAACGUGAACUACGACGGCUAUAAUACCUAACGAUAACGUAUUUGAGUAGGUACCUAACAAGACUAACGAGCCUCCGCGUUCCUACGAAGCAAAUGAAAAUAAAAUUAGAGUGCAUUACACAAAUAAAAUAAAAGUGCAUUACACAAAUAGGUACUCCUCUGUUAAGGUUAUCAGGAUAAUAAACCUGACAUGCGAACGUAAAGUGUAAUGACGUAAUAAACUUUGCAAAAUGCAAAUUAGCGAGCUCGACAGGACCCUAAAGAUAUCGUCAACUUAACGGUACUAUAACAGGAAAUGUGUGAUAUCUUGAACUCAAUGGGGAAUUCCAUGGGUAUCCGAAACGAGUUUUGUGCCAUUCCACUUUAAUCAAGGUAAACACUGCACGGGUACAAGAGGUAUAGACGAUUCGAACUAAUUGAUGGAUAUGGGUUUAUUAAACUUUUGCGAACCAUUGGAACGGAUCUAUUUUCAUCGCGUAGGUGAAGCAAUUUUCAAUUUGGAAUACUAUACCUGAAGCUGAUGCUGGUGAAUAGACCACGGCCAGAAGCAGAAGAAUGGUCUGCAGGGUUGCCAUCGUUCUUUAUUUGGUGAAUUAGUUGUUAUCACUUCGUAACAUCUGAAACAUAAGGAAAAAAAUAAUUAAAAGAGUAAACUGUAUUUAUGUGAACAAAGCAAAUUUGAAGAUUAAAUCAGUAAUAGUUAUUCACAUAAGAGCCAGGAAAAUCAAUUAUUACUGACGAGGGCUUAUGGGUUAUUGUAGUACGAGGCCUUUCAGUAUAUUUCACUAACUGUUCGUCCACCUAAUAUCCUACUGACAUUUAAAUGGAGUCCUUUCUUCCUGAAACUGUGUAAUCUGUUGCGAUAAAAGUGAUAGAUAA